UACCAGCACCCCGAGUGGUCGGGACGAUUAUUGGGCCUAAAGCAUCCGUAGCCGGUUUUACAAGUCCUCCGUUAAAUCCAGCUGCUUAACAGAUGGGCUGCGGAGGAUACUAUAAGACUAGGAGGCAGGAAAGGCAAGCGGUACUCAGUGGGUAGGGGUAAAAUCCGUUGAUCCAUUGAAGACCACCAGUGGCGAAGGCGGCUUGCCAGAAUGCGCUCGACGGUGAGGGAUGAAAGCUGGGGGAGCAAACCGG
rnacentral:rRNA from 1 species